UUUUUUUUUUUACUUUAGGUUCUGGGGUACAUGUGCGGGUUUGUUAUAUAGGUAAACUUGUGCCAUGGGGGUUUGUUGCACAGACUGUUUAAUCACCCAGGUUUUAAGCUUAAUACCCUUUAGUUAGUUAUUUUCCUU